rnacentral:lncRNA from 1 species
UUUGUUUAUUGUUAGUUCAUUAGCCUCAAACAAACGUUUUAAGGACUCAAACAACUGAUCCAUAACUUAGAAAUUUUAUUAAUCCAACAAAAAGAAACCCCAAUAACUUAAAAUAAGAUUUACUGCAACUCGUGCCUAUUCUACAUCUGCACCUUCCAUGCUAAAUUCUCAACUUUAAAAUACAGCAACCACAAAACAGUUCACCAACAACAAAAGUCUCCAUUUAAUACAGUCCAUGAACAAUAAUAAUUACCGUCACCAAAAACACAUUUACUUCACAAAACACAAUAAUGAAGUGCGGCCAUCAAACAACAACAGUAAGGCAAGACACUGCGCCACCUCCAGGUUUCUUCUUUUAAACAUAACUGAAUUUACAUAUUCAUAUAAUAAUAAACAAAACAACUGUUACUUUAUAAUUAUUAUAUCAAAAAACCUCUUAUAUUAAUUUAACCAAUAUUAAUUUCAUAAUAUAACACAAUAAACUAUCUUUCUUAUUAAACAACAAAAUAAAAUUAUCA